GAAGAACAGUUGCGAUUCGACGCUCUUUCCUGCAGGAAUUUGUGUUUCCGGGCGUCGCUAUUUUACGAACAUAAUCGCGUAAGGUUUUUGCACCUGAAGUUGUUGGAAGUUGCGUCAGUUUUGCGUGAAUAAACUUGUUUGCAUUUUGUCACCAUCAAGAGCCAACUUGUUCCGACAGCCAACCGAAGCCUCAGUACCUCAUCUGCCUGCCUUCAGAUCAGCUCCUCUACACUCAAAGUUUAUGUCAGUAGAGGAUGAAGGAAUUAUAAGAAUAAAUUGUAUCUAUGACUGCAAAAGGCCGCCUAAAUGGACGACAUGAACAUCACCGCCAACGUGAGCAAUGAGCACGUUCCUCCCUUCUACUUCGUCCAGAUCACCCAGACCAUCCUUUUCUCUUUGGUGUGUUUGGUGGGAAUAGCUGGGAACACCCUCGUGAUUUACGUAGUGGUGCGCUACUCCAAAAUGCAAACAGUCACCAACAUGUACAUCGUAAAUCUGGCCAUUGCAGACGAGUUUUUCCUGAUUGGAAUACCAUUUCUCAUAGCCACCAUCCUCCAUGGGCAUUGGGUGUUUGGACACUAUGCGUGUAAAGCUUACAUGAUUACCACCAGUAUUAAUCAGUUCACUAGUUCCAUUUUGCUGUGCAUAAUGAGCGCUGAUCGUUAUAUAGCAGUGUGUCAUCCAAUAUCUUCACCUAAAUGGAGGACUCCUUUCAUCUCCAAAAUGGUUUCGUUCUUUGCCUGGUGCUGCAGCAUCCUCCUGAUGGUUCCCAUCGUCGAACAUGCCCAAGAAGUCGACGGUCCCAAUGGGCAAAACUCCUGUGCGAUUAUCUGGGGAACGGCGGAGUCCGAAAACUUCACCUCAUACUUCCUCAACAACACCUUAACAUCGAGCAACUCCAGCAACUCCACCCAAUUCGACUUUGAGCCGGAUUCCUCCCCCGCCAUCGUUUUCACUAUUUACACGUUUGUUUGCAGUUUUGCCAUUCCCCUAACGCUUAUUUUGUUCUUCUACUCGCAAGUGUUGAGGAAACUGAAGACAGUCGGGCCGAAGAACAAGUCGAGGGAGAAGAAGAAGUCGCACAGGAAAGUGACGAACUUGGUAUCCAGUGUCGUUUUGGUUUACAUUAUCUGCUGGGCACCGUAUUGGGUCACUCAGCUGGCCAUUAGUAACUCCAAUCACAACAAUAUUACCUUGAACAUAACACUUCAUCUACUGGCAUCCUGCCUUAGCUAUUCAAAUUCGGCAGUCAAUCCCAUACUCUACGCCUUUCUGAGCGACAACUUCAAAAAGAGCUUCUGGAAAGCCUGCACGUGUGCAGGCAAUAAGGACGUUAACGCCACCCUCCAUCUGGAGAACAGCGUUUUUCCGAAAAAAUCAAAACCCUCAUCAUCAGAAAGGUUCCGGAAUACAAGAAACACGUCGAUAUGUCCCAAUAUGGAUGAGGAUGGUGAGGCGCCACUGGUGAAAGGCGAUCCCUCAACAUCAGCCACUGCAUUAACAAUGACCAGUCGGAUCAACAUCAAUCUGCACGACAGUCGAGACAAUGUGAUGAUAAAAAACGGAACAGCUCACCAGUCCCAACCCACCAGCUUAUAAUCACCUUUGAAUGGGUGUAUUUUGAAAAUGAGGAGGAUUUUUUGUAGCCAAACAUAUUGUGAACUGUUGAACUGAUGACUUUGAAGAUGCAGAGCUAAACGGAGCGUUGUGAUCUCGCAGUCAUAUAGGAGUUACAAGGUAUCUAACUUCGCAUUAAAAUAAUUAUUUUGUCUGCUUUUUUAACAUAAUUCGGAAACAAACAUUACUAACAUUCUAGCUAAACAUUUAUAAGCUUAAUCAAAAUUGCUGCGUGAAAUUGGACGCAGAUUUUCAUCUCCAGUAUUUGCAAAAUUGUGCGUUGAAAAUAGGUAAAAGUAAUGCGAAUGAAUGAAGCAACUUUCCGCAAUAUAUAGCAAAGUAAAUUUGCAAAAUUUCUUGUUACUUUCGCAAUAAAAACACCACAUCCUUUCCAUCCUUUCGCAACUGAAAACAUAAAAGUUUUGAAUAUUCGAUGUCUUCGUCAUUUAGUUAUUGACUUGUAAAUAUUUAGUUAGUUUGCCACUUUUUUAUAAAUGACAAAAUAUAUAUUAUAUUUAUAGAGUAUAAUUUUAUUUUUACACUAUGUGGUAGAUUUGUAAAGAAAACUAAUUAACAGGGUAACUUAAUGAAUUAACUUUCAUGCGUUUUAUUGAGAUUUCAAAGCGAGCCCAUGAAAUCUCAUAAAAACAAGCCACUUAACUUGUAGGGCCUGUAUGUAUAUCAUUGUUGCUUUCACUGCACAUAAAUAGAUCUUUUCAAAAUAGUACUUAGCCUCCGCAUAUCGAAGAUAAGUUGAGUUUUUAUGCAAAAACUGUACUUACAUAUCAAGUUAUGUAAAUAACUGUGCCCUACAUUGGCGAACAAUUUUCGGCGCAUUUGAGCGUUGAUUAUUCUUUGCCAUGAUCGAUGUUAUGUAAAUAUGAAUUUGUAUAUUUUAUAUGGUUUUUGUUACUACCUGUGAUAUUAACAUAUAUAAAAGUAUUCGACGUUUUAACCAAGCUACGUCUUUGUAUGAGUAGGAAAAACGUCUUGUAGAUAUAAUUAAUUAACACCCAUUUAGUGUAGUUUGUAGGCAAUUAAUUUAUGAAUGAAAUGUUCAGGACCGCCGGACGUUUAUAAUAAAUAUGUCCGAUUUUCACGUAACACAUAGUACUCAUUUGUUAAUAGACUAUUUCUCAAUGUUGUGUACGAAUUAUCGCUAAGUCCCCCUAACAUAACAUAUUGGAAAAUGACUAUUUAUCUGCCAAAUAGUUAAGAGGUGUCGAAAUCUGUAAUGUCUAUUAAUCAAACAUCAAAUAAAUAUUGGCAAAUCAG
rnacentral:misc_RNA from 1 species